rnacentral:lncRNA from 1 species
AAACUCUGCUCGUUGUACUAAAUAUCUAUACUAGUAUCAGUCAGUUUGUGAGUAGCUGGUUUUUCUAUGUCUGGUGUUGAUGCGCUAGCUUGUUGUUUUUGUAUGGCUCAGAUUAUAUGCCCGAGAAACCCGGCGUCGACAAUAGUGGAGCUCUGCAUCCUCAUCUUUACAAGUAGUACAGAACCACCAUGGCUGGGCUGCUGAGCAGUGUUUUUGCUGGGUGUGCCUUUGGCGACCAUGGCGUGGAGACGACACCAUCCAACACGAGUUUGGUCAGCAAAGCCGCUCUGCCUCUAUUGCCGCUCACGCCCCCGAGCGCAUCCGGUUGGCACUUCUUCCACUCUGCCAUAGGUAAGACACUUCGGUUCCUCUCAACUGUUUUUAAUUAAGAUCUAUGUGUCCACGGCCAUCGAUCCAUGGUAGCAGUUGGUCAUUGGUUGAGUUCUGCGAACAUAGAAGUUUCACACUGCACGCUGAUUACCGCAACACAUGGAACUGAGUUGAUGCUCAGUAUUUCACAGUUGACACCUGAACCACUAAUCAUGGAUGAUUUGUUUCGGUAGUUAAUUGCUCUUUGUGAUGAAUUUGAUGUGCUGGAGUAUGCAUUCUAGAUGUUUGCUCUCUUGGAAAUGAGUGGUCCAUGGUGUUUAUCUGACUUGAACCUUUCUCGCUUAUAUAUUUUGUCUGUUUUGGGUUGUGUCAUUGAGAGAGACCUGACAUCGCGGUUUCUUUGAAUAUGACAGGACCUUCUAAAGGGAGGAAAACCACCCUCGAAGUCACAGGCUUUGGGAGGGAAGCCCUACACAUCUUGGUUCAGGUGAGUCCUUGAUCUCCCCUCUCUCUCUCUCUCUCUCUCUCUCUCUCUCUCUCUCUCUCUCUCUCUCUCUCUCUCUCUCUUGCUCUGAGAUGGUCUAACCAUCAAGCCGUUGAUUUAGUGUUUGGAUCUGUUAUUUAAUUGCAUGUCUGGUAGUUUCAAACACAAUGUUGUAUAGCCCUUUGUAAUUUCUGGUUGCCUAACUAAGCAGUCCAAGCAUGUAACUCUAAUUUGUGAUGGAUGUGACAUUCACUUUCUAGUGAAUUUGUGAUGCCGACCAAACGAGCUACGCUACUAAUCCUAGCUGAACAAGAAGGUCGGUUCAAUGUUGUUUGCUUGUACGAAUGAGUCCAAAUAGUUUGUGUUAAUUUGUUUGGACUUGGCGGGUUGCGCCUUUCUCCUGUUACAUGGUUUGAAAUGGCUCCUCCACCUUUCUUGGGCUAAUAAGUGUCUCAACUUUAGUGCAACUUUAUACUAAAGUACAAAGUUGAGACACUUAUUUUGGGACGGAGGGUGUAGUUAGAUUUCAUGGUCAAGAUUUUCAGAGUUAGCCGGAUAGCAAGCUAGCUGUGUUAUUGUUUUUCUUGUUGUAAGUUGAUAGCAUCACAUAUCCUAUUGUUGUUGUUCUAUCUUCUGAAGUAGAACAUGGGAGCGAGAUGUGUGUUGGUUUCUUCCUUAUCAUGUAUGUAUGCUAGCAUGCUUAGCUUGGCCUCCUAUGCUAUCAUGUAUGGUUGCCAUCUUAAUUUCCUUGGCCAAAUAUAUAAUGUCUAGCAAGCCUGUACUGCUAAUCAUGGUUGGUCUACUGGGAUGUUAUCUUAUUAUCGCUAGCUCAAUGGCCUAGUAUCUAUGGUUGGUCUACUGCAAAGCAUGCCAUUGUUUUUGUUGUCCCCUUGGUAGUAUAAGCCAAAACUUGGGGUGUGAGAUUGUCUAGUGCCUUUUUAGAUCAGUCACCAUAAAACAUUUAGUUUGUGAAGUUGAUGCUGCCAAAACUUGGAUUAUGUGAGGGUCCGUCGUUACUUUUGCUAGCUUAUGUGCAAUUGACGGGUGUCUUUCCUUUUGGGUUUUGAGCAUAGCAUGUUUUUAUCCUCUCCUUAUGGUAGUACCAGCCAACAGUGUGUGUGAGAUUGACUUUCUGGUGUCUUUUUUGAUCACUGGCUAUAGAACAUUUAGUUUGUGAAGUUUGUCUGGCCACUGAUUCUUUAACUUGUUGCCUGUGUAUUUGAAGCUCUGACUUGGAACUUUGUUCCUAUUGUCGUCAGGUUACGUGCCAUGGAAUGGACGGAUGAUGGUGAGCGACCACAAAUGGAUCUGGAAAAAUGCGCCUUGCUGGUCUAGAGAGUCCUUGGAAGUGGACGGUGGCCCUAUUGGUUGAAGGCAGGGGGAAUCGCUCGACGUAUCUCAACAAUCAUUAAGUCACAUAUAGGCCUGGUUGCCACUGGAUGGACCGAGAGGGGUCUGUAGAGAUAUCAAAAUCUUAUGGUCUAAGUGUCUGCGCUGAAUGGUGAUACAUGCUGAGAUACAAGAAGAUCCUGGCGAGCGAAUCUUGAAGAAUACUUUUCUCUCUUGUCGGCUCAGGUGUCUCGGGACUUUGUAAAAUUCCGAUGGGAUGGUGACAUAUGUUGGCCUUGUCCGAGGGAUUGUGGUAAAUUUCAGAUUGUAUUGUGUGGCAC